rnacentral:rRNA from 1 species
GAUGAACGCUGGCGGCGUGCCUAAUACAUGCAAGUCGAGCGAACGGACGAGAAGCUUGCUUCUCUGAUGUUAGCGGCGGACGGGUGAGUAACACGUGGAUAACCUACCUAUAAGACUGGGAUAACUUCGGGAAACCGGAGCUAAUACCGGAUAAUAUUUUGAACCGCAUGGUUCAAAAGUGAAAGACGGUCUUGCUGUCACUUAUAGAUGGAUCCGCGCUGCAUUAGCUAGUUGGUAAGGUAACGGCUUACCAGGGCAACGAUGCAUAGCCGACCUGAGAGAGUGAUCGGCCACACUGGAGCUGGGACACGGUCCAGAGUCCUACGGGAGGCAGCAGUAGGGAAUCUGCCGCAAUGGGCGAAAGCCUUACGGAGCAACGCCGCGUGAGUGAUGGAGGUCUUCGGAUCGUAAAACUCUGUUAUUAGUGAAGAACAUAUGUGUAAGUAACUGUGCACAUCUUGACGGUACCUAAUCAGAAAGCCACGGCUAACUACGUG